rnacentral:rRNA from 1 species
GGCGAGAGUAGUACUAGGAUGGGUGACCCCCUGGGAAGUCCUCGUGUUGCAUCCC